UUCUCUUGAAUUUUUUCUUGGGUUGAUUGUUUUCAUGUCCAACUUUAUUGUACUUUUUGGAGUUGUAGUCAUCUUCUAUAAUAUUUGCUCCAUUCGUUGUAGAAUUUCCUCUUGACCUCUUUCUGCAGCCUUAUUGUCUUCUUCAAUGCGCAAUCUAACGAUUAGAUCUUCGACAAACAUCUCCUUACCUUUGUGCUUCAAAUAGUUUUUGAAGUCUUUCCACAUAGGUGGUAGCUUCUCUAUUGUUGCUACUACUUGAAACGCUUCAUUCACG
rnacentral:lncRNA from 1 species